UUGUUCUGCAAUUGACCCAAUACAUAAGCAACCUCAUGCUUUAAUAGAGCACUCGUUGAACCUAAAGAUUCAAUAAUUGCAGAGAUAGCUUCCUCUCCUCCAAUGUUUCGUAGUGCAAAGAGAGCAGCAUAGCGUUCGUACAUGCCCUUUUCUUCACUCAAAAGAACUUCCGUUAGAUCCUCAACAGAGGAAUAAGCAGCAGGAGCAGCUGGGUCUACUGACAGAAAGGGUGACGACACCACUGGUAGUGCAAAGAGAGCAGCAUAGCGUUCAUACAUGCCCUUUUCUUCACUCAAAAGAACUUCCGUUAGAUCCUCAACAGAGGAAUAAGCAGCAGGAGCAGCUGGGUCUACUGACAGAAAGGGUGACGACACCA
rnacentral:lncRNA from 1 species